AUGGGGUUCCCUGCUCAGCUCUUGGACCUCCUCAUGCUCUGGGUCCCAGGAUCCAAUGGGGAUAUUGUGCUGACCCAGACUCCACUCUCCCUGUCUGUCAUCCCUGGAGACCCGGCCUCCAUCUCCUGCAGAUCCAGUCAGAGCCUCCAAGAUAGUGACGGAGACACUUACUUGAAUUGGUACCUGCAGAAACCAGGCCAGUCUCCACAGCUUCUGAUCUAUGGAGCUUCCAACCGGGCCUCUGGGGUCCCAGAGAAGUUCACUGGCAGUGGGUCAGGGACAGAUUUCACACUAAAAAUCAGCAGGGUGGAGGCUGAGGACGCUGGAGUUUAUUACUGCCAGCAAGGCAUGGAAGAUCCGCCUUAUACGUUCGGCCAGGGGACCAAGGUGGAAAUCAAACGCUCUGAUGCUCAGCCAUCUGUCUUCCUCUUCCAACCAUCCAAACAGCAGUUAGAGACCGGAAAUGCCUCUGUCGUGUGCUUAGUGAAUGGCUUUUACCCCAAAACUAUCCAAGUCAGUUGGAAAGUGGAUGGAGUUGUCCAAGCCAGCAACAUCCAGGAGAGUUUCACUGAGCAGGACAGCAAGGACAGCACAUACAGCCUCAGCAGCACCCUGACGCUGUCCAGCUCCGAGUACCAAAGCCAUAGUCUCUAUACCUGCGAGGUCAGUCACCAGUCCCUGGCCUCCGCCCUGGUCAAGAGCUUCAAUAAGAACGAGUGUUAGAGCGAGAGGCCUGCAGGCUCGCCCAUCACCUGGGCUGGGUCCCAGCCCCCUUCCUCGCCUCUUCAGGCCUCGGGCCCUUUUCCCUAUUGCAAUCCUCCAGCCCAUCUCCCCACCUCACCAUCCUCCCCCUCUUUGGCUUUAAUCAUGCUAAUGUUGGGGGGAAAAUGAAUAAAUAAAGUGAAU